UAUUCUCCUCCAAAUCACUUUAUUAUAUCAUGAUAAAUCACGAAGCCUUACAAUGCUGCAGAAGGUCUUUAAAAUAAACCCAACACACUAACACAGCAAUGGGACUUGCCAGCUUCUGCCAAGGCUUGCUUAGCAGCUAAUGUGAGAUUACAUGAGGAACACUUGCAGUCUUCAACUGGAUUGUCACAUUGGGAUUUAAACUUACCACAGUGGCACAAAGACAGUACCUUUGACAGUUUGUGAUCCCUGUAACAGUUCAUCUAUGUACAGACUUCCAAAAUUAAACAACUUCCUUGAAACACCUACAUUUUCUGCCAGCAGAAAAAGAAUUCUCUUAAAAAGGCAAGAUCCACUAAAAACACCCUUUUCCUCCCAAAUUGCCCCCAUCCUGCACUGCAGGUGAUUGCUGUUCCCUUCCAGAUCCAUGCUUGUGAGCAGUCCCAUUGCCUUUUUAAGAAAAUCAAUGUUUCUUGUGACUGUGAAGGCUGGUUGAGCAUUGCAAAGAGCCAGGAGAGGAGCAAAAAGCCCCAGCGCUGAAAGAAAGGGUUAAAAUCCCACCCUAAGGUCCCCGAAGAAGAGGAGAUAGAUGAAAAUGUGGGAGAGGGAUUUCAGUACCCAAAGCAAGGUGUUGGCUCUUUUAUGGGCUCAGUAGGUUUCAACCAUCCUUGGAGGCAGCUGCUUUGGGUAAUAGAAUUUCCAUUUGCAAAGACUUUUGGGGGAGCGAGGAUGAAGCCUGAGCUUCUCCCAUCACUCCCAAGGAGGGUUGUGGGAUGGGUUUUAUAUCUGCAUCAUUUUUACAUGGGCCUCCCUAAAUCAGUUUCAGACAUUGAAGGUUGAAGGUUGCCUUGAUGCAAGGCUGGGUUUAGAGACCAGGUAUAAAUGAGCCCAAGCAGGACCCCCAUCCUUCCCAUCCCCAUGAAAGAGCAUGCCAGACAUGGACCAGACACCUCCACUGCAGGACCUUCCAUAAGCAAGUUGAAGGCUUCACAUGUAGCAUUGAGUCACAUUGUGUUGCCUUCCCACGUUUUCUCCUAGCCUGCAUAAUCGUGGAAUCAUAGAAUCACAGACUGGUUUGGGUUGGAAAGGACCUUAAGAUCAUCCAGUUCCAACCCCCUGCCAUGGGCAGGGAUGCCUCACACUAG
rnacentral:lncRNA from 1 species